rnacentral:misc_RNA from 1 species
UCCCUACGCAGAGCAGUAAACUGAGUAUCCAGAGACCUGGCUGCAGCUAACCAUGCAAGCACAAUCACCAGAAGGGUUCCACCAAGGUAAGGAGUUGAAUUGGCAAGUGACCCAAAGGAUAAGAUCAUAAAUUGUUGAAUCAAAGCUCCUCCAGACUUGCCCAAUGGAUUGCAUACGACAUCAAUGGCUGCCUUCCCUUUAACCUUGGUCUCCUCAUCCAAGGGAAUAUAGGCCAUCUCUUUACAUGGGUCAAACAAGCUGUACUUGGCACUCUU